rnacentral:rRNA from 1 species
AUGCAGUCGAACGAGGCAGCGGCCUUCAGGCCGUUGUCGAGUGGCGAACGGGUGAGUAACACGUGAGGAACCUGCCCCGGAGACCGGGAUAACCAGGGGAAACUCUGGCUAAUACCGGACGCCCCCGGAUGGUCGCAUGGCCAACCGAGGAAACGCUCCGGUGCUCCGGGAGGGCCCCGCGGCCUAUCAGCUUGUUGGUGGGGUAACGGCCCACCAAGGCAUCGACGGGUAGCUGGUCUGAGAGGACGAUCAGCCACACUGGGACUGAGACGCGGCCCAGACUCCUACGGGAGGCAGCAGUGGGGAAUAUUGCGCAAUGGGCGAAAGCCUGACGCAGCAACGCCGCGUGGGGGAUGACGGCCUUCGGGUUGUAAACCCCUUUCGGCAGGGACGAAAAUGACGGUACCUGCAGAAGAAGCCCCGGCCAACUACGUGCCAGCAGCCGCGGUAACACGUAGGGGGCGAGCGUUGUCCGGAUUUAUUGGGCGUAAAGAGCUCGUAGGCGGUUGCGUAAGUCGGAUGUGAAAACUCAGGGCUCAACCCGGAGACGCCAUCCGAUACUGCGCUGGCUAGAGUCCGGUAGGGGAGCAUGGGAUUCCUGGUGUAGCGGUGAAAUGCGCAGAUAUCAGGAGGAACACCAGUGGCGAAGGCGGUGCUCUGGGCCGGUACUGACGCUGAGGAGCGAAAGCGUGGGGUAGCGAACAGGAUUAGAUACCCUGGUAGUCCACGCCGUAAACGUUGGGCACUAGGUGUGGGGCCUACUUAACGGGUUCCGUGCCGUAGCUAACGCAUUAAGUGCCCCGCCUGGGGAGUACGGCCGCAAGGCUAAAACUCAAAGGAAUUGACGGGGGCCCGCACAAGCGGCGGAGCAUGUUGCUUAAUUCGAGGCAACGCGA